rnacentral:tRNA from 1 species
GGGGCUGUGGUUCUGUGGCCGAGCAUCCGCUUGGCAUGUAGAAAGUCUCAGGUUCAAUCCCUAGCAUCUCCA